rnacentral:rRNA from 1 species
CGAAAACUCUACACUGCAGGCAACUGCGAUAGGGGAACAUCGAGUGAUCCUCAUAUUGGGGGUCUGUCCCACCGUCUAAAAAACGGUGGUUAGCAAGGGCCGGGCAAGACCGGUGCCAGCCGCCGCGGUAAUACCGGCGGCUCGAGUGGUGGCCGAUAUUAUUGAGUCUAAAGGGUCCGUAGCCGGCUUUGCAAGUCUCUCGGGAAAUCCAGCGGCUUAACCGUUGGUCGUCCGGGGGGUACUACAUUGCUUGGGACUGGGAGAGGUAGGAGGUACUCAGGGGGUAGGAGUGAAAUCCUGUAAUCCUCUGGGGACCACCGGUGGCGAAGGCGUCCUACCAGAACAGGUCCGACGGUGAGGGACGAAAGCUAGGGGCACGAACCGGAUUAGAUACCCGGGUAGUCCUAGCCGUAAACGAUGCUCGCUAGGUGUCACAACAGUCGUGAACUGUUGUGGUGCCGUAGGGAAGCCGUGAAGCGAGCCACUUGGGAAGUACGACCGCAAGGUUGAAACUUAAAGGAAUUGGCGGGGGAGCAC